GAAGAUCUAAUGCUAUACGAUAGUCGUCUUUGGAAAUAGAUAGUCGUCCUUAAAAUGUUCAAAGAGUAUAUAUGAUACAGCAUUGGGACAAAAGUGACAUAGCUCAUCUUGUAUUGACUGAUGCAUUGUAACUUUCUAAGCUUGGGAAGAACACGUUACUUACAUGAUGUAUCAUGUAGCAAAGGUUUUUGAUAAGUGGUGCAAAGGUUCAUACUUAUAGAAGUUACAGUUCUUCAACUUUAUCACUUUAAGAGGUGAAUAAUUUCAUAAUAGUAACAUCAAUUGGAGUUCUUCAACUUUGUCACUUUAGAGCAUCAUUAUCCCAGAAAUUCCAAAUGGGGUUUCUUAAUUUUUUUUUUUUCGAAUUUAGAAGAAAAAAAAAAAUUAAAAACGAACCAAUUGCGGACCGCCACUUGUCAGUGGAGCCCGUAAACAGUGUAAGAAACCCUUAAAGAUCGAUUACUAUUUGGUAGUUUUGGUAACCGAUUUCUUAAAAAAAAGUGGAUCCUACGCGGAUAUACUUGAAUAAAGAUGCUCUUAAGCGGUGAUUUUUUUUUUU
rnacentral:lncRNA from 1 species